rnacentral:lncRNA from 1 species
UUGGAAGGUUUGCUAUUUAGGGAUAAUACUUAAACUAUCCUAUUUUACGGCUCAUUUGCUAGAAAAUGCCUGUGAAGCAAACAGCUUUAUCAAACCUUAUCAAUGAGUAAAGGAUGUCAAAGGAGGGUGUUUCUGCUAUCUGGUGUUAAAUGUGGCUGCUGCUAAGUCUUCUAAUUUUUACUAACUUCUGUUAAUUAAACACUCUUCCAUGAGUGUUUGGUGAUAACAAGCUGCUAAAACACUCUUGAAAACCAGCACAGAGACCCACCACAGGGCCAGAGGAUUUCCAUCUCUUCCUGUUAAGGCUGCUUAUAGGCUGGGGUAAUUUAGGGUGGCUGCAGUGGGUGGGGGGAGGGAUGGAUGACCCCUCCUUGUGCCACCCUGUAGAGCUCUGAUCAACUCCAGGUGACUUAGUCCUAGCCACAGCUGAAGCAAUCCCAUUAAGAAAGCUCAGGUGCGGUAUCCUAUUUAACACUUAAUCUAAUUAUCAGGAUUUGGUUUCCCUUUCUAAAGAUCCCAGGUUAUAUAUUCCUUCUGGAUUCUCAUGGUGAAGCUCUUCUUUCUUCUGGAAGUAUGAAGGUACCUUUGCUCUUGUUCUUUCUCCUUGCUGAGCUUCAGGGCAGGAGAGCAGGGGUCUUUGGGACCAGCUGAAAUCCAGCACUGAUGUUGCAGUGGAUGCACCUGGGCUCUAAGAUGGCUGCUCCUGGAUCUCUUCAAGUCUCAUGGCCCUGUGACGACUGUGUAAUGAUGGAGAAAGCAGCAAUCCCAAUGACUCUUCCAUUACACAAUGAAGUCAGUCUCCAAUGGCUGAAGUGAGUUUGGGGUAUGGGUUUGUGAAUUCUCUAAAGCAUUCAAAGCACAGAGAAUUACUUUAAAUGUGACUCACCCUACUUGAAUUUCUCCUUAAUCCAGUCUUCCUAGAUACUUGCACUCCUUUUCCUAACACUUUUUGGGAGUCAGCCUGGUUUUAAGGAGUAGUAUGC